UACGUAGGGUGCAAGCGUUAAUCGGAAUUACUGGGCGUAAAGCGUGCGCAGGCGGUGAUGUAAGACAGUUGUGAAAUCCCCGGGCUCAACCUGGGAACUGCAUUUGUGACUGCAUCGCUGGAGUGCGGCAGAGGGGGAUGGAAUUCCGCGUGUAGCAGUGAAAUGCGUAGAUAUGCGGAGGAACACCGAUGGCGAAGGCAAUCCCCUGGGCCUGCACUGACGCUCAUGCACGAAAGCGUGGGGAGCGAACAGG
rnacentral:rRNA from 1 species